ACGCGCCGCCCGGCGGGCGAAACGGUCCGGCGCGGGGCAACGGUUAACAGCCAACGGUCAACGGCCGCGCGGGCUGAGGGGCCCGGGGGUCGGGGUGAGAGGGAAGGGGCGCUGCCCGCCUUCCCCCGGCCGGUACGGGGCAGGGCUGUGAGGAGGAGGAGAUGAGGCGGCGAUGAGGCGGGCCCGCUGCGGAGGGUUUCCUGUCACGCUGCCUCCUCUUCCUGACCUGCUGAGUCACGGUCCCCACUUCCAAGCCCUUGUUUUGCCACACCGAGCACGCAAAGGGUGUUUAAUCAGGAAGGGGCUGAUAUUAGUGUGCUUUUUAAAGUCCCUGGGAAUCCACAAAACGAAGACCAAAGCAAUUCUUAUUCAAGUCUGAGACAUGUGUUUACCAACCCAUCCCAUGGCUUCGAUGCUGGGAAUUUUGUACCAGGGGAAAAAAGGGACAUGAAACCACGUGAUUGCCAUGUCUGAGACAUUCAGAAAAGCACCACGUAUUUGGCAAGUUUGGAAAUACUCGUUUAUCUGCUUCCUUGCUCUCCACGGGUGUUUACACUGUGGCAAAGACGCCAAAGGAAAAAUGUUCAGUUGGCCAUCUGAGGUGCUAAAAUCUCAACACCAACGAAGCAAGUGUGCAUAAAAACAAACGAUAAAACACAACCAAACGGAAGAAAACAGAGUUGUUCCUUUUACAGACAGGGAACAUCACAGGGAGAAUCUGAUUAACAUGGAACCAGCCUGCCAGGAUCUGCUGUGUCAAGCAUGGUGAGUACACAUGUACUCAACUGGGCUGUUGUGCUUAGAGGGGAAAAGGCUUUUACAUGGAUAAAAGAAGUGAUUGACAUCAGGGUCUGUGGGGGCAAUGAUCAGCUGAGGGCUUUAUAGAGUUAAAAUGGUAAAAUUAAAAUUCUCUCCCUUGACAUUUUCAUUUCAUAAAGCAUUUUAAAGUUUACAGGUCCUGUUAGUAUCAGUGACUUACUGCAUCUUUUCCAUCAUUUCUGUCACCCAGUGAAGGCCAAACAUUUCUCAUCUCUAAAAUGGUUCAGCUGUUUUAGCACUGAGAAUUUGCUUUUCAGCUGAACUUAACGUUACAGAGAUAAACAGUAGGAAAUAACCAGUAUCACUAAUAGUCACAGGAGAACAUAUGCACCAGGAAGGCAAUGAGCCUGAAACAUCAGAGCUAGUGGAAUGGAUGCUCACUGCUCUCCGUGCACAGCUGCAUUUAUAAAGGGGAGGCAUUUCCGUGUUGGGAAAAGGCAUGAACUCCACAACAGUAACAUGGUAAGAAUAACGCUUAUUUUGGAGAAGUCAGCAGAGCUUGAUACACGUGGUUUGGAGACAGCUUUAGAGAACUAGACUACUGGCAAACUGGGAAGGCUUUAGAAGGGACCAUCACAGAACUAGACCAGCACAUGGAGGACACACUGGAGUGAGAGGGAGAGCACAUGGGCUUCAAAGCCUGCGACUGAGCAGCACAGAUUUCUCAGACAGGAAGAAACCUCUGUACUGGGAGCAGGAAUGGGCAACAUUAGGAGAGGUGCCACAGUUGGCCGUACGACAAAUAAAGCACUGUACCAACAUUAGUUGACAGUAUCAGAACCUUAAUUCUAAUUGUUCAGAAUUUUCCAACUUUUCAUUUAAAAUGAAAAAGAUACUAGGGCUUUUUUUUUUCCUACAAUUGCCAUUUCACAGUUUAGGUUACAAAAGCAAAAACAAACAAGAAAACCCCCAAACUGCAAAGGCACUGUAAAGAGUAAG